UCGAAUUGUGAUUUUAACAAGUGUAAAAUCAUUUGCAAUGAAGGCUAUUCAUUCGCAGAUAAAUCAACGAUUAUGGAAAUGACAUGUGAACACGGCAUAUGGAAAUAUUCGCAAUCAAACAACAAUUCAUCUGGCAUUUGCUCAUCCGUUUGUGAUCCUUUUUGUCAGAAUGGUGGAAUUUGUACGCAACGAAAUGUGUGUUCGUGUUUGAAGGAAUUCGAAGGAGAUCACUGCGAAAAUGCAACCAAGAGUUCUGUUUUAUAUGAGCAAUGUGUAAAUCUGUGCAAUCGAGGUUGUCCAUAUUUGAAAUUAUUUACAAGAAGCUGCACUAACUAUUGUGUUGAUAAAUGUGAUUAUCUAAAAAUCAAAGUAAUACCAUCUGAAGAGACUAUCUCUAUUUC